UGGAUCACCUCCUAACAGGGAUACAAUAACUAAUCGUGAUGUCUGAGUAGUUUAUUCUCAGGCCCAUGAUUCUGUCAUCUCUAAGGUCGAUCGGUACCUCAAUUUGAGAGCUAGUGAAGGAUUGGGCAACCAACCUGGAGACCAGUUUAUCAAUUUCAGUUCCUAAACUUUGUCUAGGUCACCCCAAAGCGGGUUACACUCCUGGGCCAUUAGCUCAGGUGGUUAGAGCGCACCCCUGAUAAGGGUGAGGUCCCUGGUUCAAGUCCAGGAUGGCCCAUUCACCGCCUGCUUAGCAGGCAGGACUUGAUGGCUGGGGGUUUAGCUCAGUUGGUAGAGCGCCUGCUUUGCAAGCAGGAUGUCAGCGGUUCGAGUCCGCUAACCUCCAUCCAAUGUUUGCUCAGCCUUCAAGCCAAACCAGUUAUGCCAUUGCAUAGAGACUAAGUGUGUCGCAGGGCACUACAGUAGGGAACUACAGCAUGGCAGCUCAACAGGGGAGUGCAGCCGUGUAGGUGAUCUGGAAAAUUUGCUGUUGAUUUCAGCUUCUUUCCAUCGAUAGGAUGGAAGGACGCUGGAUUCAUAAUUGCCCCAUAAAUGGGGCCGUGUGUAUUUCAGCAGAACCUUGACAACUGUAUAGGAAAGUCUGGAAAUAAAGCAUCUCAUGGAUGCUUGAUUUUUAGCCCGAUCGCUGGUUCAGCAAUGGACAGGCGGUGGGAGAGAAAUCAAGAAAAUUCUAUUGAGUUUUAAGAGCCGAGAGCUUUCAGUUUUCUUACUUGUCCGCCGAGGACAAGUGAGUUUGAUCCUGGCAUUCAAACCGCAUUAGUCUCCAUAAGCAAUUAUGGAGCCUGGUGGAGGUGAAUCCAGCGAGAAUCGGCCUCAACAGCCGCGCGUAGCUCGAGAAAUCGAAGCUGCCAAGAACUGGAAGUAUAAAUUGGUCAAGCUACAAAGGG
rnacentral:tRNA from 1 species